UACAGAGGGGGCGAGCGUUGUUCGGAAUUACUGGGCGUAAAGGGCACGUAGGCGGCCUUCUAAGUCGGACGUGAAAGCCCCAGGCUUAACCUGGGAACUGCGUCCGAUACUGGGAGGCUUGGAUUCGGGAGAGGGAUGUGGAAUUCCAGGUGUAGCGGUGAAAUGCGUAGAUAUCUGGAGGAACACCGGUGGCGAAGGCGGCAUCCUGGACCGACAUCGACGCUGAGGCGCGAAAGCUAGGGGAGCAAACGGG
rnacentral:rRNA from 1 species